rnacentral:rRNA from 1 species
CAAUAGCGUAUAUUUAAGUUGCUGCAGUUAAAAAGCUCGUAGUUGGAUUUCGGGUGGGAAUGGCCGGUCCGCCGUUUCGGUGUGCACUUGCUACGCCCACCUUGCUGCCGGGGACGUGCUCUUGAGUUCACGCUCGGGACACGGAGUCGGCGAGGUUACUUUGAGUAAAUUAGAGUGUUCAAAGCAGGCCUACGCUCUGAAUACAUUAGCAUGGAAUAACACGAUAGGACUCUGGCCUAUCUUGUUGGUCUGUAGGACCGGAGUAAUGAUUAAGAGGGACAGUCGGGGGCAUUCGUAUUUCAUUGUCAGAGGUGAAUUUCUUGGAUUUAUGAAAGACGAACUACUGCGAAAGCAUUUGCCAAGGAUGUUUUCAUUAA